UCCGAGUUGUCCCUGGUAGUCCACGCCGUAAACGAUGGGCACUAGGUGCCUGGGGGAGCGACCCCCUGGGUGCCGGCGCUAACGCAUUAAGUGCCCCGCCUGGGGAGUACGGCCGCAAGGCUGAAACUCAAAGGAAUUGACGGGGGCCCGCACAAGCGGUGGAGCAUGUGGUUUAAUUCGAUGCAACGCGAAGAACCUUACCAGGGCUUGACAUGCCGGGUGAAACCGUGGAAACACGGUGCUCCUUCGGGAGCCGGCACAGGUGCUGCAUGGCUGUCGUCAGCUCGUGCCGUGAGGUGUUGCCUUAAGUGGCGCAACGAGCGCAACCCCUGUCCCAUGUUGCCAGCGGGUAAUGCCGGGGACUCAUGGGAGACCGCCGGUGCCAAACCGGAGGAAGGUG
rnacentral:misc_RNA from 1 species